CCUACGGGCGGCAGCAGUGAGGAAUAUUGGUCAAUGGACGAGAGUCUGAACCAGCCAAGUAGCGUGAAGGAUGACUGCCCUAUGGGUUGUAAACUUCUUUUAUAUGGGAAUAAAAUGUUCCACGUGUGGGAUUUUGUAUGUACCAUAUGAAUAAGGAUCGGCUAACUCCGUGCCAGCAGCCGCGGUAAUACGGAGGAUACGAGCGUUAUCCGGAUUUAUUGGGUUUAAAGGGAGCGUAGGUGGAUUGUUAAGUCAGUUGUGAAAGUUUGCGGCUCAACCGUAAAAUUGCAGUUGAAACUGGCAGUCUUGAGUACAGUAGAGGUGGGCGGAAUUCGUGGUGUAGCGGUGAAAUGCUUAGAUAUCACGAAGAACUCCGAUUGCGAAGGCAGUUCACUGGACUGCAACUGACACUGAGGCUCGAAAGUGUGGGUAUCAAACAGGAUUAGAUACCCGAGUAGUC
rnacentral:rRNA from 1 species